rnacentral:rRNA from 1 species
GACGAACGCUGGCGGCGUGCUUAACACAUGCAAGUCGAACGGACAGGCCCUGCUUUUGUGGGGUGCUCGAGUGGCGAACGGGUGAGUAACACGUGAGUAACCUGCCCUUGACUUUGGGAUAACUUCAGGAAACUGGGGCUAAUACCGGAUAGGAGCUCCUGCUGCAUGGUGGGGGUUGGAAAGUUUCGGCGGUUGGGGAUGGACUCGCGGCUUAUCAGCUUGUUGGUGGGGUAGUGGCUUACCAAGGCUUUGACGGGUAGCCGGCCUGAGAGGGUGACCGGCCACAAUGGGACUGAGAUACGGCCCAGACGCCUACGGGAGGCAGCAGUGGAGAAUAUUGCACAAUGGGCGGAAGCCUGAUGCAGCAACGCCGCGUGCGGGAUGACGGCCUUCGGGUUGUAAACCGCUUUCGCCUGUGACGAAGCGUGAGUGACGGUAAUGGGUAAAGAAGCACCGGCUAACUACGUG